GAGCCAAAGAAAAUAACAAAAAAGAUUACUAAAUCAAAAUCAUUUAUCACAAAAAAGAUACAUGGAAUAAAAUUAAAUAAAAGAAUUCAAUUUCAAUCAUUUGUUUCUAUACAUGAGUUAUGGAACCAAUACAUGAAUGAUAUUUUGCCAGAUAAAAUUCUCAGAUAAAUAUGUAUAAAUCUUAUGCAGAAUUUCCAAAAGAAUGGAAAGAAGCUGGUAGAAAUUUAGGUGUGAAGGAGGUUUCCAACAAGUAUGUAGAAACUUUUUUAAAAAAUAGAAUUCCAAGUUCAAAAUUAAGCAAAAUAGAGGGAAAAAACUUUGAUUUAGAAAAUCUUAACGAGCCAAAGAAAAUAACAAAAAAGAUUACUAAAUCAAAAUCAUUUAUCACAAAAAAGAUACAUGGAAUAAAAUUAAAUAAAAGAAUUCA
rnacentral:lncRNA from 1 species